rnacentral:piRNA from 1 species
UGGAGACAAGGAGGUGUUCUAUUUUUC